UACGUAGGGUGCGAGCGUUAAUCGGAAUUACUGGGCGUAAAGCGUGCGCAGGCGGUUUUGUAAGCCAGAUGUGAAAUCCCCGGGCUUAACCUGGGAAUGGCAUUUGGGACUGCAAGGCUGGAGUGUGGCAGAGGAGACUGGAAUUCCUGGUGUAGCAGUGAAAUGCGUAGAUAUCAGGAGGAAUACCGAUGGCGAAGGCAGGUCUCUGGGCUGACACUGACGCUCAUGCCACGAAAGCGUGGGGAGCAAACAAGGGUAA
rnacentral:rRNA from 1 species